GUAUUAGUUCCUUCCCUCUCUGAUAAGGAAGGAAACGAAAUAAUAUCAAUUUUACGACAAAUCCGGUCCGAUCGCCUUCAGCUUAGCUUCUUACUUUUUACCGGCCACCUUCUUUAUGCUUUUUAUUGGCCUCUCCCUCUCUUGAAUCUGAUUGUGCUGAAGACUUGAAAGGAAUUGUCGGGGAGCUUUGGCUUGCUUACUAGCUCACUCACUUGCUUGCCCCUUUUCAGUAGGGGAGGUUAAUUACUAGUUCUUCCUAUACCUACAGUUGAAGGAUUGGUAGGUCGCAAUAUUGCAGAUGUCUUGUCCUGUUGUUAUUACUCUAUAAAUUUUCUAGCCAUUUAUGACAGCUAAGUUGACCACGUUGUAUAUCUCAUUACUGCAAUUUGACAUUUUAAAUCUUCUAUCUUUUCCUAGGUUACGAAAUAUCUCACCAUGCUCAAUCUUAUUCGUAGAUACCUUUCCUCCAUCAAAGAAAUACAGAUUACCGACACGCCUCACAUAUCUGUGUCCUGCAUUUCCGAGACACACACACAUUCCCCAGGAGAGGGGUGUGACAUGCCCAUUUUUUUUGCUUACAUUUUUUAAGUCCCGACACGCUGGAUAUGUUGGGGGGAGGGGGGUCAAAAUGUCGUUUUAAGUGUCGGGGCAGGGUCAAAGUUGUCUUGAAUAUUGUUUAGUACACAAAUUAUUUUCCUUAUUUACGGAAUGCAUUAUGUAUGCUUUUUGUUCCUGAUUCUACACUACUAGUUUUGUCACAAGAGUUGUUAUAUUGACAUUAAUAUGUAUGCUUUCCGUAUUCAACCUGUCUCCAAAGUCCACAUCCUAAUUUUCAGAAAAUGUCAUUUCUGUUUGUCUGUGUUCGUAUCCUUACCUCUUAGAAUGCCCAUGAAUGUCAUCAGGAGAUACCAAAUACUUGCGAAUUAUUAACUGAUGUGAUCAAAAUUUGCUGAUUGGAUAACGACACUUGUGCUUUUCCUAGCUUUCUAUCUGACCUAGUAUCUGUCUUGUUAAUUUGAAAGGUUGCAAGCAGGUUUGCCUUUUGUUGUGUACCCAAUCCUCUCAGCAAUUGACCUUAUUGGAAUUUAUCAAGGGCUGAAGCAUGUGCAUCUGCAAACAUUAACUAAGGUUGGUUGUUUUCCUGAUUUGAUAAGUUCCCCUGAGAAGUAUCUCAACUUCUUUGCUUGGCAGGCUGGCCGCCAUAGUUGUUGCCCCUUACAAAGAAAAGUCUCCAAUAAUGUUAAAAUGAUAAAACUCCCGAAAAUGGGUGUAUAUCAUGGCGUCCCUUAGAUAACUAGUUUCUAUCUUAACUUCUCACUUUUGCUUUUGCUCAUCAGUCAAACCACUUUCUGCGCACCCCAAUUGAUUGGGACACAAGGCUCGGUUUGGUUAGUCAAACCACUUUUUGGUUGUGUUUGCCUUUUUCACCUGCUGAUACCACUUGUUUGCUAUCAAAAUCAGUUCGACUUUUAAUUCAGUAAUUGGGUGCCAUUGCCUGCAGCAAAUACUCAUGGCACCAACUGUCCCAAUAGCCUCAUUUGUGACAGGGAAGUACUUUGGUCUUCACUUGGAAAUGACCCUUGAAGUACCAAUGGACAUAUACUCCUGACUUGUUUUCGCACAAUAAAGUGUUACUUUCGUCUUUACCAUGGUUGGCCGUUUAGCGCCUUAUUAUAAUUUUUUGUAUUCAUGAUAGGCUUGAGAUUAUAAUCACUAAGUGGGUUGAGCUGGGAUGUGUUCCUUCACCUGCAGAUGUGAGUAAAGUGGAAGGUGUAAAUUUCAUGAGAAGCAAUGGCAGAGGAUUGUGGCCGAUAAGAAUUGGUCGCUUAAAUCCCAAACGUCAAAUACCAAGGUUGUCAAUGACGACUAUGCAAUCGUUGAAGGGUGAGGACAUGUACUUUGUAUGCUUGGAGAUCAUAUGCAGUAGAUUGGCAGCAACUCGCCAACAAAUCAUUGUUCUUUGUGUGCGAGAAGGAUCUCGCACUGCUGAUGUUGUAAUGGCUCUAUUGCAGGUAGAGGAUUCUGUUUUGGAAAUUCACCCAACGAAAGAAAGAGAAAGGAAGGGAAACUGAAAAAUAAAUUGAAUUCCCUUACUAGUUUGUGUUCCUCAUUUGUGAGGGAAAAGAUAAAUUAUAAAAAAAGAAGAAGAAGGGAAAACAGUUUCCCCUGUCACUUUGCAUCUUUUAUUUGUUCGUUUAUCUUAUGAAACGUGGUUAUUUGUACUCCAAGAAGAAGCUCCCACAUUCCAUUCUAUCCUUUUGGAAAGAAAUAUAGCUCUUCUGUCAGUCCCAUAAAAUCUUACGUAUGGGACUCAGGUGCAAGUGUCGGGUAUCCGUACGUAAC